UGUAUCAUUACCUUCAUUAAUAGCUGACUGUAAAUGGCACAUUUGCCCAAGAAUAUCAAAAUUUCAAAUCUACACAGGAAGUUCUUUGACAGAGCAGAAUAGAGUAAAUAUUUGGGAGAGUGUUUCCCUAAAUAUUUUACUAUGUGCAGCUUAUUUCAUCUUGGAAGUUAACAAUAAUUAACAGAAUGCACCAGGUAUAGCAUCAUAUGUGUAUACACAUAUAAAGUAUCAGCACACAUGAAUGAAUUGAGACAUGUUUAGUGACCCAAUGUAUUGUGUUCAAACUUGGCUCCAUCCAACAGUUCAAAGACAUGUCAUAGCAGUGGAGCAAAUGGUGGCAAAUGACGGCUUUGUGGUGGUUAGUGAAAAACUGUGGCAAUCUACAUUGGUGGUGGCAAACACUGACAAAAAAUUUCUGGACCAGCAGUGACAUUAAGCUGAAAAUAAUGACAUAUUUUACACUGUACUGAAGAUGUAAUUGCGAAAAUUAUUUAUGAAAUAAUAUAUCUCAUCCAGUGAUUUGUCGUUGAAUAAAUCAUUGCUUGGAAUUCAGAUGCGAAGGAAUUAUAUCACGAGGGCGUAGCCCGAGUGAUAUAAUAAUACGCAUCUGAACGACAAGCAAUGAUUUAUUCAAGAGCAAAUCACUAAAUGAGAUAUAUUAUUUCGAUUCUAACACGUUAUAAAGGAUUUUAAAGUACAUCCUUGAUGACAUGCAUUAAAUAUUUGCCCGUUUUCAAUCGGUUUCUUUUCCAGCGCGCCGCUAUGCCGCUUGACGCCGUGACGUAAUAAUUGUGACGUCAGAACAGUGAUUUGUUGUAUGAUAAUUCACUGCUUUCUUCCUUCUUUGUUUCAUAGGAAAAUGAAUCGGAUCGUGUUAGAAUUAAGAAAUAAUAUAUCUCAUUCAGUGAUUUGUCGCUGAAUAAAUCAUUGUUUGGAGUUCUGAUGCGAAGGAAUUAUAUCACGAGGGCGCAACAUUACUGAAAGGAUUUUCUUCAGACUUUCACAAGUGAACAAUCUUGACGGGUAGAUACAACUACAAUUACACUGCAUCCAAAAUCAGUGGCACAGAAACCUGUAGGGGACUAUGUAUUGCCUUGCAAUACUUCAGCACCUUGUUCUUUUAUAUGUGUAACUUGUAAAUGAUUAUUUGUGUGUUUUAUAAAGUUAAGAAGUCCUA